CCCCUCUCAGGGUCACACCUGGAGAGUUUCUGGUACUGUACCAGUCUUGGCUACAGGAGGGAGAGUCAAGCGGAGGCAUACCCAUUCCAUUCCUAGCUUGGCAAGUGGCUAGCAAGUGGAAGGAAUCUGCCACAAGU